rnacentral:tRNA from 1 species
GCGGUGUGGCGAAAUUGGUAGACGCGCUAGACUUAGGAUCAGUGCCGCAAGGCGUGGGGGUUCGAGUCCCUCCACCCGCACAA